CCGGACAAAAGCCACAGUAAUCUGCUCUCUGGUCUAAGGCUUUUUCUCAUAUUUCUGAAAGACUGAAGUGACCUACUUGGAAUCCUAAGACCUUCCUUAUCCACCCUCCAAUUCCUGCCUGGGGUAGUAUUCAACUGGGUUACCUCCCCGGACAAAAGCCACAGUAAUCUGCUCUCUGGUCUAAGGCUUUUUCUCAUAUUUCUGAAAGACUGAAGUGACCUACUUGGAAUCCUAAGACCUUCCUUAUCCACCCUCCAAUUCCUGCCUGGGGUAGUAUUCAACUGGGUUACCUCCCCGGACAAAAGCCACAGUAAUCUGCUCUGUAUGUCUCAGUGUUUCUUACUUUCUCCAUAAGUAUUAUUGUUUUGAUAAUACAUUACUUUAUGUUGAUGUAUUACACCACUGCCUGACUCUGUUAGCAGCCAUCAGCAGCCAUAACCCCUCCAUCUGCUCCCCUACCCCUUACUACAGCCCAUCUCCGUGUCCCUGUAGCUCCUUCCCUAUCUUACAUUAGCCUUAUAACUGCUCCCUACUCCAUU